AGGUACACAAGGAGAUGAGGAUGGUCAUCGCCAUUUUCUGAGCUGCGAACGGGCAGAAAGCUACACAAGGACAUGAUGACGGUCAUUGUCAUUUUCUGAGCUGCGAACGGGCAGAAAGAUGAGGAUGGUCAUUGUCAUUUUCUCAGCUGUGAACGGGCAGAAAGCUACACAAGGACAUGAUGACGGUCAUUGUCAUUUUCUGAGCUGCGAACGGGCAGAAAGCUACACAAGGACACGAUGACAGUCAUUGUCAUUUGCUGAGCUGCGAACGGGCAGAAAGCUACACAAGGAGAUGAGGAUGGUCAUUGUCAUUUUUUGAGCUGCGAACGGGCAGAAAGCUACACAAGGAGAUGAGGAUGGUCAUUGUCAUUUUCUGAGCUGCGAACGGGCAGAAAGGUGAGAAAAUGUCGGAUUUUCACCAUU